rnacentral:rRNA from 1 species
AUGUCUUUCCUGAGGCUGUUACCUCAAAGGUUGCCCCAAUUUGUUAGGCAGGUGGAGCGAGAUGUCGAGACUGUAAUCAAUGUUCUGCAGCCAGGUCCAAUAGGAAUUGUGGAGCAUAAGUUCACUGAUGCAGAGAUCCGCGAGGCGCAAGUCACUGUAAGGAGUGCCGUUGAGAAAUGGCGAAGGAACAGUGCUCUGGAGCGAAAUCUUGGCACUGGUUCUUUUCAUAAAUCGAAGUAG